rnacentral:lncRNA from 1 species
AGCGAGAUGAUAGCAGUCGUCGAAGAUUGCUGCAGGUAGUACUCCCUCUGGUACUUUUUACUCUGCAUAUUAGGUUUGUCCGAAAUUAAUUUUAUCCAACUUUGACCAAGUUUAUAUAAAAAAUUAUAAACAUUCACAUAACAACACCAAUAUCAUCGGAUUCAUCUUGGAAUAUAUUUUCAUAUCAUAUUUAUGAGAUAUUAUAGAUGCUAAUAAUUUCUAAUAUAAAUUUGGUCAAACUUAGCAAAGUUUGACUUUCGGCAAAUCCAAUGUGCAGAGUAAAAAGGACCAGAGGGAGUACUGCCAAAGAUGUGCCUCCAGAUCAUUGUCUCAAUAACCUCAACAUUGUCGGAAUUGGUGACAAGCUUGUUACACUGAACAGACUGGGCUAGAAUCAAACCAUACCGAAGUGACAUGGACUCUGCAGAAAGAACAUCUCCGCAUACUGCUCCAGCUGCUGGAGCUAGAGCAAAGAUUUGUUGUUGUUACCCAGUAGCCCACUACAAAUGUACACUUGUACAGUCCUACUGAACAAUCCUUUUUUUCUCGAGGAAAAUCAACUGAACAAACCUCAAACAAUCAGCGGAUGCAAGCUAUGGUGAGCAACAAAUCUAUGGUUUUGUUACAGCUGAGAUCUGUAUAAAUUGCAGUGUAGUCCUCCAAUGUUAACAAGCUCCAAACAAAAACAACUCACACAUGAACACACUUGAAAUAAUCUCACAGGAC